rnacentral:rRNA from 1 species
AACUCUGAGCGGUGGAUCAGCUCGGCUGCGUUCUCGUGCGUCGGCGUCGAUGAAGAGGCGCAGCCAACUGCGUGAAUUAGUGUGAAUUGCAGGAUAUCUUGAACAUCGACAUCUGAACGCAUAUUGCGGCCUCAGGUCUCCCCUGUGGCCACGCCUGGCCGAGGGUCG